rnacentral:sRNA from 1 species
CUGGGAUCAAAGGCAUGCGCAACCACUGUCAGGCUUCGCCGUCUUAUUUCUUUAGGACGAGUCUUUUGCUGGAUCUGGGGCUUUAUUGUCUGGCCAACAGAUAGCCAUCUCUUUCCACCUCCCCAAAACUGGGGCUCGGAGCACACCGCAUCGUUCCUUACGUGGGUGCUGGGGAUUGAACUCAGGGCUUCUUGCUUGCAUCUUUUUACGCGUUUGGUGCCCUAAUCCAUAUCCCAACAGCCACAGAAAACCAUCACACUGGAUCUUCACUUUAUAGACCCACAUAGGGAGGUUAGUUAGGCCCCACUUUAGUCCUCCAGGAAUAGGAGAUUAAGUCCAGGUCUACUGCUCAUUAUUGGCAUUCAUAAAAGUGUUAAUUAUCUUCCUGUGCCUCAGCUUUCCCAGCUGAGAAAUGGGGCUAACGAUAAUACCUACCUCCCUCUCCCUCUGAGGAUUAAAUGUUUUCACGCCUGUCGAAUGAAGCCUAGAACGGUGUGGGACUUGGGGACAAGCCAACAUUUGCUCUAGUCCUACCCCCCCUGGUCCGGUCCACUUCAGCUUUUACAAGUCACCUCCCUUCCAUCAGCAUAUUCAAAUGGGCAGCUUCCUACACCAGGCAGGUGUCCUCUGGAGCUAGAGCUGAAAGGUUUGCAGACAGUAUCCUCCCUAGCGGGUCAUCUUGGAGAGCACUUUCUCCCGGCUCUGGAUGAGGAAGGCAGGACUGCUCUGCUGUGUUCCUGAAGAGAUCUUUCAGCUUCCUGAAACCACGUCUGGCUCAGAAUCACUGCUUAGUCCCCGCCAGCAAGGACCACACUCAGGCAUUCCAGACGUUAGUGUAACCCUAAGUGUCGGAAUCUGUGGUUUUGAAGGCAACACCUCGUCCUGCAGUCUCUGUUGGCAGCUGCGGGGGGCUUCUCAGAGGAACCGGUUUAAUGGAAGCUAAGUUAGAGGGGCUUCUGCAUGAGCAGGCAGUUUGAUGGAAGCUAAGACUCACUCUGUAGACCUUUGCCAGUCUCUGUCCUCCAAGUGCUGGGAUUGAAGGCAUGCUCCCUGGCUACCAGAGUUCAAAGUCUAAGUACGGUCUCUGCUUCAGCUUUCAAGCACUACGGUUCCAGACGUAUAUAACUAAUGAUUUCUUAGAGGUCCCACCCCACUCUCAACAUUGUUGCACUGGGGAUUAAAUUUCUGGCACAUAAACUGAUACAAACCAACGGCACCAGAGCAGAUCUAAGAGUCUUUCUCAGGAGCUCAGCGGUGGAAGCACUCGUCUCUCAGGGAAGUUUAGCUUCCAGGGAAACAGAAGAAUGACCUGACACAUCUGGAGGAAUGUCCGUAUCAGCCAGGAAGCAUAAAACGUCAUCUGUGGACUGUGAACAAGACUCUGUGGUCUGUGAACAAGAGACUAAAAUACUUCUUUUACCUGGCAAUUCAAAUGGAGGGCACAGAUGUAUUUUUAAGUAUCCAGCGCCCUCUGCUGUUGGCAGCUAGAAAUGCACAAAGAGAUCAAUUUCAUUAAAAACAUUAUUUGUGUGUGUA